GGGCACUUGGCUCAGUUGGUAGCGCGCUCGCUUCGCAUGUGCUUGGUAGCAGUGUGAUUGCGAGAGGUCAGGAGUUCGAUUCUCCUAGUGUCCA
rnacentral:tRNA from 1 species